GACGAACGCUGGCGGCGUGCUUAACACAUGCAAGUCGAACGGAAAGGCCCUGCUUUUGUGGGGUGCUCGAGUGGCGAACGGGUGAGUAACACGUGAGUAACCUGCCCUUGACUUUGGGAUAACUUCAGGAAACUGGGGCUAAUACCGGAUAGGAGCUCCUGCUGCAUGGUGGGGGUUGGAAAGUUUCGGCGGUUGGGGAUGGACUCGCGGCUUAUCAGCUUGUUGGUGGGGUAGUGGCUUACCAAGGCUUUGACGGGUAGCCGGCCUGAGAGGGUGACCGGCCACAUUGGGACUGAGAUACGGCCCAGACUCCUACGGGAGGCAGCAGUGGGGAACAUUGCACAAUGGGCGGAAGCCCGCUGCAGCAACGCCGCGUGCGGGAUGACGGCCUUCGGGUUGUAAAACGCUUUCGCCUGUGACGAAGCGUGAGUGACGGUAAUGGGUAAAGAAGCACCGGCUAACUACGUG
rnacentral:rRNA from 1 species